CUGAGUUAGGGUCUUUAGGCCCGACCUCCCAACCCUUUGUCUACUCAACCACUUGUUGCUUUGGCGGGCCCGUCCUUGAAAAAGGACCGCCGGGGGACCGUAGCACGUCCUUUGGCCCGUGCCCGCCGACAGCCCCAACCUAAACUCUUGAUAAACGUGAUUUAUACCUGAGUGUCAUGAAAUAAAGCA
rnacentral:misc_RNA from 1 species